AAAAACCACAAAUGGACAUAAGCAAUCCGUCGUUUUCCAGGCGCCUCGACGGCAUCACUUCGGUCCUAAUGUCUUCCUUUGGCUCCCGCUCUGAUAUCAUCUGGAGAUGUGAUCAUGGAGCUCGGAUUUGUUGGGAUUUUAGGGCAUUCUCAGUGCCCUGCUGGUCAUACCCUCUGUUCCAGUUGUAAGUUAAGAGUGCAAAAUCACUGUCCUACCUGUCAACAACUGGGUAACAACGGGUGCUUAGCUCUUGAGAAAGUGGCUGAGUCCCUUGAGCUUGCUUGCAAAUAUUAAAACCAUGGAUGCCAUGAAAAUAUCCCCUAUGAUUGACCAUAUGCUUGCAAACUGAAACAUGAACAGCUUUGUAAUUCAGGCCCUAUGAUUGUCCAUAAGCAGGAUCAGAAUGCUCGAUUAAAAGUGGUAUUCUAAUGCUUGUUGUUCACUUGAAAAAUGACUAUAAGGUCGACAUGCAUGAUGGGAUCACUUUUAAUCAUCGUUAUGUGAAGUCUAACCCUCAUGAAGUUGAAAAUGCGACAUGGAUGCUCAUUUUAAGACACCUUCCUUGUUUUGAUUUCAUGUUAUUUAUUGAUAUUGACAGUAACGUUCUAUAGCUGACAGAUGCUGUUUUCUUCAAAUUUGAAUCAGAACUGGUGAUGGGAGUACAAACAGUAGUUUGAAGUUUCAGAUAUUCUUCAGCUUUAAACUGGUUAUGCUUUUUGUUACCAUAAACAUAAUUUGAAACCACUUGGAUUAAUUUCUUCUUGUGUCAUGCAGGUGUUCAAUUGUUUUGGCCAGCACUUCUGCCUACAUUUUGACGAGUUCCUCUUGGGUGUGGCACCGGUUUACAUGGCUUUCUUAAGAUUCAUGGAUGAUGCAAACGAGGCCAAGAAUUUCACUUAUAGUUUGGAAGUAGGUGGCAAUGGCCGGAAAAUGAUAUGGCAUGGUGUGCCAAGAAGCAUAAGAGAUGGUCACAGGAAAGUAAGGGCUAGUUAUGAUGGGCUUGUCAUUCAUCGUGACAUGGCUCUGUUUUUCUUCUGUUUUUCUUCAGCGGCAACAGGCGGGAACUAAAACUUCGGGUGACUGGCCGCAUUUGGAAAGAACAAUGAUAUAGUCAUAUUUGGUGUUUCCCAGUUACCAAUAGAGUCUAAACAGGCAUGUGAUAGCAUGAAACUCCCAUUAUACUUGAACAAAGUAUAGUCAUCAAUCAUUAUGUGAUCACGCUUUGUCUUCACCAUAAUAAAAUGCCUAUGGAUAAGCUUAAUAUCAUUGUCAUGUUCAAUGUGCGAACUGUCUCUCUUGAUAAAAUCAUUGUCUGAAAUGGCAACAUUGUUUUACUCAUCAGUGUAUAA